AACGAACGCUGGCGGCAUGCCUAACACAUGCAAGUCGAACGAGAUCCUUCGGGGUCUAGUGGCGCACGGGUGCGUAACGCGUGGGAAUCUGCCCUUAGGUUCGGAAUAACAGUUAGAAAUGACUGCUAAUACCGGAUGAUGACGUUAAGUCCAAAGAUUUAUCGCCUGAGGAUGAGCCCGCGUAGGAUUAGCUAGUUGGUGUGGUAAAGGCGCACCAAGGCGACGAUCCUUAGCUGGUCUGAGAGGAUGAUCAGCCACACUGGGACUGAGACACGGCCCAGACUCCUACGGGAGGCAGCAGGGGGAAUAUUGGACAAUGGGCGCAAGCCUGAUCCAGCAAUGCCGCGUGAGUGAUGAAGGCCUUAGGGUUGUAAAGCUCUUUUACCCGGGAUGAUAAUGACAGUACCGGGAGAAUAAGCCCCGGCUAACUCCGUG
rnacentral:rRNA from 1 species